UGUUCUUCCUUGAGCUGCGAAACCCCGCUGUAGUCCGUAAUGGACUGGCCUGAGGUCUCGCUACAAACAAGCGGCUGCUGGAAGAGAGUAGGUGAGUUGUGUUUAGUCUCUUUGCUAAAGAAAUGAGUCAAAGUUAAAAAGAUGUUUGGUGGCUAGUACUAUGUCUGUGACCCUAUAUGUCCUGUUGAUGAAGUUAGGUGCUGUUCCGAGCAUUAUUUGUGGCUAUAGAGUGGCGUUUUGGUUGAGGUUUGUUUAUGGCUCCUCAGACCGCUGUGUAUUGCUAUCCUGCGGUCGUUACUAAAGUUGGUAUAACUAGAGAAGCAAGCGGU